UUGGCCUUGAGUCUCAGAGAAGUUUGAUCCUGGCUCAGGAUGAACGCUGGCGGCGUGCCUAAUACAUGCAAGUCGAACGCUGGAGGUCUAAGCUUGCUAGAUCGAAGGAGUGGCGAACGGGUGAGUAAUACAUAAGCAACCUACCCACGAAGACUGGGAUAAUCUCUGGAAACGGGGACGUAAUACCGGAUAGGUAAUCGGAAGGCAUCUUCUGGUUAUUAAGGUUAAAAACACUGGUGGAUGGGCUUAUGGCGCAUUAGUUAGUUGGUGAGGUAACGGCCCACCAAGACGAUGAUGCGUAGCCGGCCUGAGAGGGUGAACGGCCACAUUGGGACUGGGACACGGCCCAGACUCCUACGGGAGGCAGCAGUAGGGAAUUUUCGGCAAUGGGGGCAACCCUGACCGAGCAACGCCGCGUGAGUGAAGACGGCCUUCGGGUUGUAAAGCUCUGUUGUAAGGGAAGAACGGUAGAUAGAGAAUAUCUAAGUGACGGUACCUUACCAGAAAGCCACGGCUAACUACGUG
rnacentral:rRNA from 1 species